CUGGCUGCACUCGUGAAGCACCUGGAGCCAAACCUGCACGGGGACCUGAAUCCUGCUGCCAGUCAGUGACAAGGAGACUGAGGAUGCGGGAGGGACAGACUUUGUCACCCUCCAGGGUAAGCGCGUGCUGAGAACCCCAGGCCGGAGCCAGGGUCCGGGCCCAGCUGCCUCGCGGUGUGGUCACCGGCUGUCCCUGUCCCGCCUGCACACUGGUUCCUUCUCUGUGCACUGAGCUCCAUUAGGUGACUCAGCCAGCUGUGCCUCAUUUCCUGCCUCCCACGACUCCACUCCAUGUGGCCACAGCCUCUGUCACCGUUCCUCUCAUGCCCAGCGAGGAUCCUCAUCACACAGGCAGAGAAUAUGGAUUGAAAAUGACUCCUGGUACGAGAGCAGAAGCUCAGGACCCUGCCUGCCAAGGCUCCCUGUGCUGACCAGCUGUCACUUCUGCCAAGCAGGACUGCCUUACAGGGUUCUUGUGAGGAUCAAGAACUAACAUGCAGAAGAAUUUAAAAAUGAACUUCAACAUGGACCGUGUCAUGUUCUGUCAUUAUUAUUCCUCCUUUCCACUUGCUUUGAUAAGAUGAUUUAUGACUAAUGUACACAAAUUACAAAAUCAUGAUAGAAAUUUAGUAAGUGCUUAUUAUGUACCAGAAUUAUUAAAUUACCAAUUCCUUUGGAAAGCUAUGAUCUAGGUACUAUAUCAUCAUCAUUAUAAAAUGAAGCAAUUCACAGUCACAAUGGCUAUGCUGACUCCCCAAAGUUGUAUUUUUAAAACUCAGAUAAAAAAAGACUCAGAUUCAAG
rnacentral:lncRNA from 1 species